CCCUUAGACGUUCUGGGCCGCACGCGCGCUACACUGACCAGUGCAACAAGCAUCCGUCCUUGGCCGACAGGCCCGGGCAAUCUUUGAACGCUGGUCGUGAUGGGGAUAGACUUUUGCAAUUUUUGGUCUUCAACGAGGAAUUCCUAGUAAACGCAAGUCAUCAACUUGCAUUGAUUACGUCCCUGCCCUUUGUACACACCGCCCGUCGCACCUACCGAUUGAAUGGUCCGGUGAAGCCUCCGGAUUGGCGCGCACCUCGGUGCCGCCGAGAAGUUGGCUAAACCUUACCAUUUAGAGGAAGGUGAANUCGUANCG
rnacentral:rRNA from 1 species